rnacentral:rRNA from 1 species
AAUCUUCCGCAAGGGACGCAAGUCUGACGGAGCAACGCCGCGUGAACGAAGAAGGUUCUCGGUGCGUAAAGUUCUGUUGUUAGGGAGGAACACGGACCAUUCAAAUAGGAUGGUACCUUUACGGUACCUAACGAGAAAGCACCGGCUAACUUCGUACCCGCAGCCGAGGUAAUGCGGAGGGGGCAAGUGUUUUCCGGAAUUAUUGGGCGUAAAGCGCACGCAGGCUGUUUUUUAAGUCUGAUGUGAAAUCUUGCGGCGCAACCGCAAGCGGUCAUUGGAAAAUGGAGAACUUGAGGACAGAAGAGGAGAGUGGAAUUCCACGUGUAGCGGUGAAAUGCGUAGAGAUGUGGAGGAACACCAGUGGCGAAGGCGACUCUCUGGUCUGUAACUGACGCUGAGGAGCGAAAGCGUGGGUAGCGAACA